UGACAAAACCCGGAGGAAAGGUCGGGGGAUGACGUCAAGUCCUCAUGGCCCUUAUGGGUAGGGCUACACACGUGCUACAAUGGGCGGUACAAAGGGUAGCGAUGCCGCGAGGCGAAGCCAAUCCCAAAAAGCCGUCCUCAGUUCGGAUUGGAGUCUGCAACUCGACUCCAUGAAGUUGGAAUCGCUAGUAAUCGCAGAUCAGCACGCUGCGGUGAAUACGUUCCCGGGCCUU
rnacentral:rRNA from 1 species